CAGUCGCCGCGGUAACACGAAGGGUGCAGGCGUUAAUCGGAAUUACUGGGCGUAAGGCGUGCGUAGGCGGUGAGUUAAGUCUGCUGUGAAAUCCCCGGGCUCAACCUGGGAAUGGCAGUGGAUACUGGCUCGCUAGAGUGUGUCAGAGGAUGGUGGAAUUCCCGGUGUAGCGGUGAAAUGCGUAGAGAUCGGGAGGAACAUCAGUGGCGAAGGCGGCCAUCUGGGACAACACUGACGCUGAGGCACGGAAGCGUGGGGAGCAAACAGGAUUAGAUACCCCUGUAGUCCCUGUCUCUUAUAA
rnacentral:rRNA from 1 species